GGCGACCGGCGCACGGGUGAGUAACGCGUAUGCAACUUACCUAUCAGAGGGGGAUAACCCGGCGAAAGUCGGACUAAUACCGCAUGAAGCAGGGGCCCCGCAUGGGGAUAUUUGCUAAAGAUUCAUCGCUGAUAGAUAGGCAUGCGUUCCAUUAGGCAGUUGGCGGGGUAACGGCCCACCAAACCGACGAUGGAUAGGGGUUCUGAGAGGAAGGUCCCCCACAUUGGUACUGAGACACGGACCAAACUCCUACGGGAGGCAGCAGUGAGGAAUAUUGGUCAAUGGGCGUAAGCCUGAACCAGCCAAGUCGCGUGAGGGAUGAAGGUUCUAUGGAUCGUAAACCUCUUUUAUAAGGGAAUAAAGUGUGGGACGUGUCCUGUUUUGUAUGUACCUUAUGAAUAAGGAUCGGCUAACUCCGUGCCAGCAGCCGCGGUAAUACGGAGGAUCCGAGCGUUAUCCGGAUUUAUUGGGUUUAAAGGGUGCGUAGGCGGCCUUUUAAGUCAGCGGUGAAAGUCUGUGGCUCAACCAUAGAAUUGCCGUUGAAACUGGGAGGCUUGAGUAUGUUUGAGGCAGGCGGAAUGCGUGGUGUAGCGGUGAAAUGCUUAGAUAUCACGCAGAACCCCGAUCGCGAAGGCAGCCUGCCAAGCCAUGACUGACGCUGAUGCACGAAAGCGUGGGGAUCAAACAGGAUUAGAUACCCUGGUAGUCCACGCAGUAAACGAUGAUCACUAGCUGUUUGCGAUACAUUGUAAGCGGCACAGCGAAAGCGUUAAGUGAUCCACCUGGGGAGUACGCCGGCAACGGUGAAACUCAAAGGAAUUGACGGGGGCCCGCACAAGCGGAGGAACAUGUGGUUUAAUUCGAUGAUACGCGAGGAACCUUACCCGGGUUUGAACGCAUUCGGACCGAGGUGGAAACACCUCUUCUAGCAAUAGCCGUUUGCGAGGUGCUGCAUGGUUGUCGUCAGCUCGUGCCGUGAGGUGUCGGCUUAAGUGCCAUAACGAGCGCAACCCUUGCCACUAGUUACUAACAGGUGAUGCUGAGGACUCUGGUGGGACUGCCAGCGUAAGCUGCGAGGAAGGCGGGGAUGACGUCAAAUCAGCACGGCCCUUACAUCCGGGGCGACACACGUGUUACAAUGGCGUGGACAAAGGGAAGCCACCUGGCGACAGGGAGCGAAUCCCC
rnacentral:rRNA from 1 species